rnacentral:tRNA from 1 species
UUAAUUGAAGCCAAAUAGAGGCAUAUUACUGUUAAUAAUAUCAAUGAACCAAAUAUUCCAAUUAAA